rnacentral:ncRNA from 1 species
AGGGCGUGUUUGAUGAUAACUGCAUAAAAACUCAUACCUUUUAAGCGGGCGGUACGAAUAUAUUGAGCCGUCAUUACUUCGACCAUUGAUGCACGGGUCAUACGCGCAAUGUAACCCAUUCCAUAAAUUGCCAUGGUCAUAACGGGGAGGGCAAAGUUAUAGAAGGUU